GCAGGGACUGCCUUGCCCAAAGGUCAGCAGUUAUCUGUCACAACAUGUACUCCCUCAGUCAGCUGUGCCUGGAUGUUCUGGAUGGAGUCUUGGGUUCUUACAUGACUUGGCCUCUGAUUCUGAACACGUUGCCAUGGCUAAAAUAGGUUUAGUUCCACCUCCAGGGCCAAGACACCAAGGAGCAGCUGCUUGGUCAUUCUGCCACUGCAGGCUGAGCCACCAGGGGAGCAGCAGCCUGGCAGCACAGGAACAACACGGGCAUUCAAGGGGAUGGGAAAGUGGGUAAAAUUGUAACUGGCAAAAGACAUUUUUUCCACACUAACACGGAACUGAAUUCAGGAGCUUGAGGUGAGAGGAUGCCACUAAGGCCAAGAAUUCAGUCUUUUGUUUUUUCUCUCUAGAAGAACAGGAGGUGUGAUCAGUGGGAACGAGUGACUGAGAGCCCUGAGAGCCCUUGGUUACUGGGAGGCUGUUCAGAACUGGCCUGUGGACAACCUGGAUCCCUGCUGACUCAGAGAGCCACCACCACUGACCGUGGGAAGGCCACCUCUGGUUCUGCUGGAAACAUCAGAAAAUACUGGUGGCUUCACACUGUGGUAAGGAUGACCUGUAGCACAGUGCUGAGAUAUCUCAAUAGCUUUCCCUCUGAAGGAUACAUGAAGCUUCCAGAGGUCUGUGGGGAAUACCAGGAGCCCAUGAGAGCCUUUUUCCAAGAACCAGCAUUAUUGAAGUGCAGUGGGUGAGCAGAGCUAUUCCAGCCUUGGCAGUUCAGUAAAAAUGUAGCCUAAAUAGCCAAAUAUAGGGUAUAUAGACAAAUAUAGUCAGAAAUAAUCAUGAUUUCUGGAGAAUGAAAAGGGGAUCAAUGGAAAAAAAUAGCAGCAUCCCUCUCUGUGAACCCCCUUCCCUCCAUCCUCAUAGCCUUCUCUGCAGGCAAGGCUGGGAUUAAUAGGAAACAUAUGGGAAGAGAGCCUGUGAUCCAGGGCUCCAGGAUGAGCAGCUGAAGCAUGAAGGAGCUACCUGGACCCCAUUCAGGAGUGAGCUCAGGGAUCAAACAUCUUGUGAAUGGGGAGUGGGCUGGGUGGGGAACUUAAAAGGUGCAGGGUCCAGUUUGGUGGUUCCCACCCUCCCAGGGCAACACGCCAGUCUGAGAAUGUUCCAGAUCCAGCACAGCAAAGCAUGAGAGUCACUAACCAUACCCUGCACCUUCCCACAACACCUCUUUCCCUUCCUCCCAAAUCAAACUGUCAGAACUGGACAAGCCAUGAGGGACAUUGGUCCUUGCUGAGGUCUAAAGACAAUGUAUAAUGCAAGUGAACAGUGUGUUGUUACACAGCAGAAUAGAGUUGCUUCCAAUUCAAACCCUAAAAUCAUGGUGACAACCUGCACCACCUACAUGCUCUUGUCAUCCCUCAACUGGAAUUAUAGCAGAAACAUGGUGAGGAAAAUUUUCAAUGUGACAGUGCUCUGAAUAUCUCUGUUUCCUGUGUUUCUGCUUCUCUGCAGUUUAACUAACAAAAUACCUGCAAGAAUGCCAUGAAAUAUCCUUCAUCUCAACAAUACCUCUCACCUCCCUGGAUUUGCACGUCAUCACUCGAUUUAAUCUUUCCCUUAAAAAUAAGGAGUGGGGUUUUUUUAAAGAGGAAUUAAAUAAUCUAAGUGAGGGUGGAAUGCACAGGAGACAAGCUCAGUUACAAAUGCUCUGCUGUUUUAUUAGCUAACAUCAGCAUAAAGUGCUCAGUAAAAUGGCUGCCCAUCCCAUCAGUUUUAUUACCUUCCACAUGUGCUUUUUUAUUAUCAUUAGCUGAGCUUUAAACAAUCCUUUCCAACCUUUCCUGUGUCUUGAUCUUUGCUGUCCUCACUCCAGAAUUAAGUAACAAGGUUGUAACCAAGCAUUUUCUAUGUCUUACUGUACAAGGUUCUUUGGGUUAUUCCAGGACUACUUUCUUUACCUCAUCCCUGACAUGCUGAUUGUGCCAUGAAGUCUGUGCACAGACCCCCUGAAAUUACCACUCUAACUACAACAUGAAAGCUCUGGGUGACCUUCAGAUUUAUCUCAGUUAAUCUUCUGUCCAGCAUGGCUUUAAAAAGAUUUGGUCUAACAGCCCAAGACUUGGAUUACGUUUUAUGGGAACAAAAGCAGUAAUUGCUACAAUUUGAACAUAUUUUUUUCUUAGGUUUGUUUUUUAUUUAGUGGAUGGGAAUUUCCAUUUAAAAAUGCUCUGCAACGUUACAAUCUGGAUAGAGGAACAGUGAGCCAACAUGGCUCUUUGCAAUACAGCAAUAAACCCUCAAGGACUCUGUGUCCUAUUGUUGCAGUUUUAUGGGCCCUGCCUCUUUUUCUAUAAAUUUGAAGCUGUCGGUCACCAGAUCCUUCUAGAAAAUUCCUCACCCGCUUUCCCCAAGAACUCCAGAAUAACCUGCAAUGCCCUGAAACAUCUCAGGAUUUCUUUUGGGACCAAGUCUGGACAGGAGGAUCUUUCAAAGCUCUUCCCUUUCUCCCGAUGCUGAAGGGCUGCCUCCGUGUCACCGAUGCCAGAGCUUCCUCACUGCCAUCCAGCCCACCCAGAGACACCCACCCAGGCUGUUUGGAGCUGUGGCCCCCAGGAGAGGCAGAGCAGGACAGAUCCAGGCUCUCUGCAGUCCCAGCACAAAUCUAUCUACUGGCCUGUGGUCAGUGGCCAGCCCACCCCUUUUCUUACUGUGCCAUUUAUUGUGGCUCAUGGGAAAUGAAACCUGGAGCCAGGUGAGGUCUUUGUGCUGUGGGCACUUCAGUCUUGUUGGUUCACCAGCUCUUCUGACAGCUGUGCUGAAAUGUGCCCUAAAUGCCACUGCCCUUGGGAUACCUUUUUAUCUAAUCCUCAGGAUUCCAUUGCAGUUUUAAUCCCAUUGUCAAGACCUACAUGGUUCACAGUCUAAGGGGAUGAGGCUGGUAAAAGAAGUAGAGUUAUUUUUAUGUUGUGGAUGUGUAGAGACGCCUGUGAGAGUGUGUGAGCUUGUUGUAUGUUGGCUACUGUGAGAAACAGGUGGCUCCUUAGCAAAUGACAUUAUUUGAUGUAGUUCACACUUCUUUGUCAUCUCUGACCGAAACAAUGAGGAAAGGCAAGGGAUGAGAAUGGGUUAAGAGGGAAGGGGAAGCAGCACAAGCAGAUUUUAAAAAAUAAAUUAGUCACUGCAUUCAAGGCAAACGGCAGCCUGUGGAUAUAUCCCACCCAAAGGGGACUGAAAAAGUGACCUCAUGCUGCUUGUCAAAUCCAGUCCCAUCCCUCCCAUGACUACCUAAUGCUGCAGCUCCAUCUGUCAGGAAGCGAGUCCUCACCAGGGCCAGCUUUACCAUAGAGACACAACAGUGCUCGUCAUUUGUAGUGACUCUAUUAUACAGCCUGCCCUGGUCAAGGCAUUUUCCAGUAAAUCUGGGAGCAGCAAACAAUUACUAAGUCCUGCACUGUCACAUGUACAUGAUGCAGAGUGGCUGAGUGCUUAGGUACAGGUUUAUGUCAUGCUUUACACACUGUGCAAAACCCCUCGGUUCGUCUUGGCAUCGCUGCUGUGCCAGAAGAACCUUGUCCUGGCCCUGGAUCCUCAGUGUGCUGGGGGUGUGUGACCAGACUGGGGCACCUCUGCCUCGGUUUUGUUGUUCAGCUCGUGCGUAACAUCCUUAGAAAAUACAAUCCAGCCAGGCAGGGCAAACUGCAGCAACCAUCCCUGCAGUACCUCACGUGUUCUCUGCACCUGAUGAACUGUACAUGAGCUGACCACAGAUUGUCACUUGGGCAUGGAGGGCAAAGCUGCAGAAAAUCUUGGUUCCUCUUAUUCAGGGGCACAGGCAGAGAACACAAGGAGGAAAGGCUGCCACUUUCUCCACAGACAGCUGCUCUUUCCUCCCUUCCUCCCAUUUCUGAGGCAUCUAAAAACCCAGGGUCAGCCUUCUGCUUCCCAAGCCAAACUUCAAUCCCAGCACAGCAAGAUGCAAGUCCUGGCUGAGCCAUGCUCACAGUACCAAGGCUAAUUCCAUGCAGAACAAGGUCAUUCUCUGCCCAGCUACUCACACACAUACCCACAUACCCAGCCCCAGCACUGGUCCAACACUGGCUGAGUUGUAACCUGCCCUAGUGCUCUUCCUUUCUUUUGCUGUUAUUUUCAAAGAUGAACCACAAAAGUAACCUCUCACUGACUAAAGUCCAGCAAUUUCUUUGGUGCAGGAGAGCCAGAUUGCUGCUCAGAGACUCUGAGGAGUGUGCCAAGAGGUACUGCCUCAGGGAUCCUUGAGAAACAGUCUCUGUGUAAAUCUUUCCCCUUGGAUGUGUUUCAUAGAGUCAUCCAGAGCCUCAUCAAAGCCAAAGGCAACACAGAGGGGUGGCAGGCAGUAGCAGGUGACUGGAUGUGAUGGUGCAGGAGGCCACCUGAAAGGAUCAGGACACCACAGCCUCUGCCUGGGUACAGUUUGUCAAGAACUCUGAGCACAGGUUGGGCUUCAGCCAAUUUGGCUUGCACAAGUAGCGUUUCAUGAGGAUUUUAUGGGGCUCCCUGGGACCACGGGCAGUGGCAGCCCCCCUCUCCCCCUGCCUCAUCACCCUGAUGUUAAGUUAUUUUACAAUUAUUAUCUGAAGUCAGUGUUUAGCUGUUGCCCAGGUAACAGCUCAAACAUGCCUCACCUCAUGGCCUCCCUGCAGCUUCACAUGGCUGCUGGAGAGCUGGGAAGCAGACUGAGUGCCAGGCGCUGAGGAAAUGAGCUUUGCAGCCUCCCCAGGACAUCCCAGAAUAUUGGAGAGCUUGGAGGAGAAACAUCCCCAGCCAGAUUCCUGGGCAGGCACCUCAUUCAGCACACAGUGCCUGACACAAAAUCCACAGCAUCCCCCCCACUCCUCACACCCUCCAGCUUCUCCAAACACGUGCAAAGCCACGAGGCAAAGGCAGCCCAGCUCACACCACCCCCUCUGGAACCUCCCCCCUACCUGCAAAGGCAGGCCCUGGGCUGUAUCCUCUGGGAAAGGACGUGCUCUGACACACACUGGGAGAACCUACAGCCAAACAGAUAAUCCUGCAGUACACACUCUGUCCUCCGGAGCCACUGCCUGAGCUGGAUACAAGAACUCAACACACGGAGCCUUUCAGUCCCUGCAAGGGGUUAAGCAGCUGGAAUGAAGGCUGUGGCAGGCACUCAGCAAUCCCAGACUGCUAAUACGGGAUUAAUAAUUCAGGCAACUCACUGAAGUCACGGGGAAUGUCAUCUGGGUAAAGGGGUCAUAUCAAGUCUGGUGUCCCUUUUCUACAGCCUUUGUAUCAAAUGAGCUCAUCUCCCAAGCCAAACACAGUUCUGGCAGUGUUGCUGCUUGGUAUAUCAUGACCACAGGUUUACCUUUCCAAGGCCUGUAGAAGUUAGCUGCAUCCCAUAAAUCAUCAGGGUCUCCUCAGGGACUGACUGGCAUCCCUGUGCUCCCUGCAGUUUGCAGCCCUGCCUGCAUGCCACAACCACAGUGAGAUGUUCUACAUUCACAGUCGAGCCACAAAAAGUCUGUCCCAAUUCCCCAUUCCUUCAGGGAAUGCUGUGGCCUUUGUCAGAGAGGAGCAAUGCUGUGCAGCAAUUAGGCAGCUUAAGGACUCACAUGCUGCUGACUAAGGUUACAGUCCAGUGAGAUUUCACCAGUGUUGGCCCAAAAUGUAUUUACAGCCAGUGCUCCGAUGUGAGAUGUGAUCCCUGGUUCUGUCAGUCGUCCAUCAUGGAACAGCCCCACGAUAUGCCAAGAGUGUUCUCAGCCUCCAAACAAAACCCAGGAGCGGGAAGGAGUUCACACAGUCUCCCUUACAUAGCUACAGACAAUCUGGCCCGAAGUGGUUCACUGUCCUUAGUCAAAAUACAUAUUAUUACUCUCAUGUUGCAUGGGAAAAUACAUCAGCUUUGCUUGUGACUCUGUAUUUACUAGCUGAGGUUCCUGCUGCAGCUCUAUCAGCAUGGCUUUAACAGGCAGCUCAUGCUUGUUUAUUCUUCCUACCCAGCUCAGUCUUACAGCCAUUUGCCACCCCUCUGGUAUCUCAGCCUGCCUUGCCAGCCCCAGCCCAGCCUCAGCUUGGAUCUGUCUGGGCUGGUGAAGGUGAGUCUGUGAUGUUUCGGACCUCUUGCACUCAAUGGUGCAUUGAAGCACAUCAGGAAAGGAUAAGGUCAGGUAUUUCCUUUGGGCUGGGUGCCCAGCAGCUUUGGAGCAGGGGAGGAAGAGAGUUUCCAAGGCCCCCUUGGAAAGUGGGGCCAGUGCUGCUCUGGCAUGGCAGGAGGAGAGCAGUCUCUUGCCAAGCCUCCUCUGGACCCCUGAUCAAACACUUUGGGGCACCCCCUUUGUGCUAAUAGAUGAAACCACUACUCUCAUGAAUCUGGGUGCCCAAAGCCAAGUUUAGAUACAGUCUAGACGCAGUAGCAUAUUUAUAACCUUGGCACAUGACGUGGCAGCAGUGGGGUAUAAACAACAUUCAAAAGUGAUGAGGUGCCACGUUAUUUAUACAUCAAAGUGCUCCACGUAGGUACCACAGCCCUGAGGGCAGAAAUCACAACUAAUUGGAGAUAGGAAGAAGCUGCCCUAUCAGUGGGAGUGGGGGUUUUGGGAAUGGGACACAACAACAGUCAAGAUCACUGUCUAAUCCUAUACCUGAGCUCCACUGACCACAUCUCACUGGGAAUUCAAGAAUAAAUUUGAUUUUACCUGUUGCCACACGCGAUGAAGAGAGUGAAGAGCAGCUGAAUGGCUCAGCCACUGCCUGAGAUGUAGGCAAAUUUCCAUUCUGUCACAACAGCAAAACCAUCCAUAUUCAGCAGAUAAAAUUCACAGUGAAACUCUACUGACAGCUUGGCACGACUGAGUGGAAGCAACUCUCUCACAAGUCUAAGAACUGACUAAGUCAUGACAGGAACACAAAUCAGCACCUGUACCACCUCUUGAAUACAAGAGAACAUGAGUGCAGUGAGCCUGCAGCUGCUCAGGUGUGAGGCAGUAAGGCAUUACUGGAUAUACAACCUCUGCAGCUCCUUGUAAUUAAUUCAAUUUUAUGCAACAUAGGUGCAGCCCACUGUUAAGCAAUAUUUGGGUGACAUUGUCCUGAGCUGACGAGGUCAGAUAAAGAUCUAGCUGAGAAAACAGAAGAGUUACAGAAUGAUAUGUUCCAGAAUAUUGGCCUGUUUAUGGAUAAAACUGAUUUAGUGGAGGGUUAAUACCUAUGGAUCUCUUUCAUCUCUUGGGCUGAAAUGGGAUGGAAGUACAAUUUUUGGCCCAGGAGCCUGAGCUUUCAGCCAUCUCUCUGGUUUCCUUGUGGGAACUGCACCCCUAGAGUAGGCUCACAAGAUGAUUUUGAUUCCAUCUUGGCACUGAUACAGGAAUCAGGCAGGGUUUUAACUGCUUAUGCUUCUCAGCAGGCAGUGGCUCUCUGGUGCUGUUAUCAGUGUGGCUCAGUCGUGCCUGGAGGCUGUUAACAUCCCAGACCUCUGAGACACCCCUGGGACAGCCCGGAGACAGCAGGCAGAGCCAUGGGAUCAAGUCGCUGAUAACAGGAUGAAGGAAGUUUCCAUGUCAAAUCUUCCUUCAGCCCCUGGGGGAAAGGAGUGUCACAUCAAGAGCUGGACAUGACUGCUCUUCCCUCUCCUCUCUCCAUCUUGCUACACAAGGUUUUAGGUUACUGCCUCGGGGAGGGGAGAACCGGUUCUGCAGGUGAUGGUGGGGGAGCAGGAGGGGAAGAGUGAGGUUGGACUCCUGUGGCAAUAAAUACCCAUCUGUGUC